UAAUAUUUUGAAAUUUAUAUUUUAGUAAAAAAGCUAAAAUUAUUUAUAGGGACGAGAAGACCCUAUCAAGUUUUACAAUUAAAAAUUUAUUUUCAAAUUAAACUUAAAAUUGUUUUGCUGGGGCAGCAAAUAAAAAUUUUUUAUUUUUAAAUUAUGAUGAAUAAAUCUUGAAAAAUCAAAAAAUUUUUAAUCAAAAAUAAAUUACUGUAGGGAUAACAGCAUAAUUUUUUUAGAGAGUUCUUAUCAUCAAAAAAGUUUGUGACCUCGAUGUUGGAUUAAA
rnacentral:rRNA from 1 species